AUAUUGUUACGAAUGUGCUGUAUGUGAAUGAUUGUAUGUGUAAUGUGAUGAAAUUGUAGCAUGAUGCAAUGUUAGCUCAGCAUGGUGCAACUCUACUUGUUGGGACAAGAGAGACAGAGGGGGCCCGGGGCCGCCGGGCCGCCGGGCAGGAAGUGCUGAGUCGAGCAGUGGGGGAGCAAGGGUGGCUGAGGAGUUGAGUUGUAGGGGAGAAGACGCGUGUCUGGGCUUGAGAGAGUGUUGAGGUGCCCCGCUCGCGAGCUGUGUGCAUCCGGUGUGCGUGUCUGCCGUGCCCCUGUACUGUGCCUGAUUAACUAACUGUUCUGUGCCUUUGAAAGUUGCUGUACUCUGUACUGUGUGAGGAACCUGUCAUUAAACUAGAACUUAGUG